GAUGAACGCUGGCGGCGUGCCUAAUACAUGCAAGUCGAGCGAAUGGAUUAAGAGCUUGCUCUUAUGAAGUUAGCGGCGGACGGGUGUGUAACACGUGGGUAACCUGCCCAUAAGACUGGGAUAACUCCGGGAAACCGGGGCUAAUACCGGAUAACAUUUUGAACCGCAUGGUUCGAAAUUGAAAGGCGGCUUCGGCUGUCACUUAUGGAUGGACCCGCGUCGCGUUAGCUAGUUGGUGAGGUAACGGCUCACCAAGGCAACGAUGCGUAGCCGACCUGAGAGGGUGAUCGGCCACACUGGGACUGAGACACGGCCCAGACUCCUACGGGAGGCAGCAGUAGGGAAUCUUCCGCAAUGGACGAAAGUCUGACGGAGCAACGCCGCGUGAGUGAUGAAGGCUUUCGGGUCGUAAAACUCUGUUGUUAGGGAAGAACAAGUGCUAGUUGAAUAAGCUGGCACCUUGACGGUACCUAACCAGAAAGCCACGGCUAACUACGUGCCAGCCGCCGCUGUAA
rnacentral:rRNA from 1 species